rnacentral:rRNA from 1 species
UAGUGGCGAACGGGUGAGUAACACGUGGGCAAUCUGCCCUUCACUCUGGGACAAGCCCUGGAAACGGGGUCUAAUACCGGAUAACACUCUGUCCCGCAUGGGACGGGGUUAAAAGCUCCGGCGGUGAAGGAUGAGCCCGCGGCCUAUCAGCUUGUUGGUGGGGUGAUGGCCUACCAAGGCGACGACGGGUAGCCGGCCUGAGAGGGCGACCGGCCACACUGGGACUGAGACACGGCCCAGACUCCUACGGGAGGCAGCAGUGGGGAAUAUUGCACAAUGGGCGAAAGCCUGAUGCAGCGACGCCGCGUGAGGGAUGACGGCCUUCGGGUUGUAAACCUCUUUCAGCAGGGAAGAAGCGAAAGUGACGGUACCUGCAGAAGAAGCGCCGGCUAACUACGUGCCAGCAGCCGCGGUAAUACGUAGGGCGCAAGCGUUGUCCGGAAUUAUUGGGCGUAAAGAGCUCGUAGGCGGCUUGUCACGUCGGAUGUGAAAGCCCGGGGCUUAACCCCGGGUCUGCAUUCGAUACGGGCUAGCUAGAGUGUGGUAGGGGAGAUCGGAAUUCCUGGUGUAGCGGUGAAAUGCGCAGAUAUCAGGAGGAACACCGGUGGCGAAGGCGGAUCUCUGGGCCAUUACUGACGCUGAGGAGCGAAAGCGUGGGGAGCGAACAGGAUUAGAUACCCUGGUAGUCCACGCCGUAAACGUUGGGAACUA